CCUCUAUUUCUUGGCACAUGUGUGGUUGUUCAGUACUCAUGUGUGCAAUGUACGGAGGGAGAGAAGUGCCGGUGCUAUGUCUUCGGUGCCAGCAUGUUUAUUGUCUGCUGGUUCUAUCCUCAAUCACUGGGACACGC
rnacentral:snoRNA from 1 species